CGGGAUCCCUUUCGGGGGACGACCGUGGCGGACGGGUGAGGAGCACGUAGCUGACCUGCCCUGGUGUGGGGGAUAUCCUCCGGAAACGGAGUGUAAUACCGCAUACGCUUGAUUGGGGGGACCUGAUCAAGGAAAGCCGAGAGGCGUACCAGGAGGGGGCUGCGUCCGAUUAGCUAGUUGGUGGGGUAACGGCUCACCAAGGCGAUGAUCGGUAGCUGGUCUGAGAGGACGAUCAGCCACACGGGGACUGAGACACGGCCCCGACUCCUACGGGAGGCAGCAGCAAGGAAUUUUCCACAAUGGGCGCAAGCCUGAUGGAGCAACGCCGCGUGGGGGAUGACGCACUUCGGUGUGUAAACCCCUUUUCGAGGGGACGAAGGCAAUGACGGUACCCUCGGAAUAAGGAUCGGCUAACUACGUGCCAGCAGCCGCGGUAAGACGUAGGAUCCGAGCGUUGUCCGGAGUUACUGGGCGUAAAGCGCGCGCAGGCGGUUGCACGCAUCGGCGGUGAAAGCCCCCCGCUCAACGGGGGAGGGUCCGUCGAGAUGGUGUGACUGGAGGCAGGGAG
rnacentral:rRNA from 1 species